AUUGAACGCUGGCGGCAGGCUUAACACAUGCAAGUCGAGCGGGGUGAUGGUGCUUGCACUAUCACUUAGCGGCGGACUGGUGAGCAAUGCUUAGGAAUCUGCCUAUUAGUGGGGGACAACAUCUCGAAAGGGAUGCUAAUACCGCAUACGUCCUACGGGAGAAAGCAGGGGAUCACUUGUGACCUUGCGCUAAUAGAUGAGCCUAAGUCGGAUUAGCUAGUUGGUGGGGUAAAGGCCUACCAAGGCGACGAUCUGUAGCGGGUCUGAGAGGAUGAUCCGCCACACUGGGACUGAGACACGGCCCAGACUCCUACGGGAGGCAGCAGUGGGGAAUAUUGGACAAUGGGGGGAACCCUGAUCCAGCCAUGCCGCGUGUGUGAAGAAGGCCUUAUGGUUGUAAAGCACUUUAAGCGAGGAGGAGGCUCUUUUGGUUAAUACCCAAGAUGAGUGGACGUUACUCGCAGAAUAAGCACCGGCUAACUCUGUGCCAGCAGCCGCAGUAA
rnacentral:rRNA from 1 species